GUCCCCUUCAAGACCCAGUAAAUGGGAGGCACUAGCUUCCUUGGAUUCAAUAACCCUCUGAAGUGAAGCCUCAAUUGAAUCAAGUCGGGCAUUAACCUGGGUGGACAUUGUGGUUAGGUCAUGAAUUUGGGCAUUGUUGGCUUGGACUUGGGCAUUGGUGUUUUGAACUUGAGCAUUAGUGUCUUGGAUAGCUUUUAAUAGA
rnacentral:lncRNA from 1 species